rnacentral:rRNA from 1 species
CCUACGGGGGGCAGCAGUGGGGAAUAUUGCGCAAUGGGCGAAAGCCUGACGCAGCGACGCCGCGUGAGGGAUGAAGGUCUUCGGAUCGUAAACCUCUGUCAGCAGGGAAGAACGGUCACUGUGCUAAUCAGCAGUGAAUUGACGGUAUCUGCAAAGGAAGCACCGGCUAACUAUGUGCCAGCAGCCGCGGUAAUACGGAGGGUGCGAGCGUUAAUCGGAAUUACUGGGCGUAAAGGGCUCGUAGGCGGUAUGUCAAGUCAAGGGUGAAAUCCCCGCGCUCAACGUGGGAACUGCCUUUGAAACUGGCAGACUGGAGUGUGUGAGAGGAUAGUGGAAUUCCAGGUGUAGGAGUGAAAUCCGUAGAUAUCAGGAGGAACAUCAGUGGCGAAGGCGACUAUCUGGCACAUAACUGACGCUGAGGAGCGAAAGCGUGGGUAGCAAACAGGAUUAGAUACCCGUGUAGUC